rnacentral:lncRNA from 1 species
AACAAACAAGGACAAAGAGAUCACUCGUAAUAAAGACACGUUGGAACUUUCAGUCUCGCCAAAAACCAAUGUCAAGAUAAAACCUUCGUUUCAUCCACCAAAUCUGCCACCUCCUUAACCCCUCAUUUUUUAAAUUAUAAGGUUUCGCACAUUCCAAUAACUUUUCCGCAACUUUUCAUUAGAUGCUUCACUACUCCAACAUUACAAGUGCACAAACAAAUUCAGAGGAGUUAUAAACGAGAAAUCCAAACACCUCCAUUACCAAGUUCAACACCUUCCUUGUCACCUCACAAAACCAGAAUAGGUGACAAGAGGUUUCUCCUUCCAAAUCAAACAAAGGACAAUUCACCGACUCGUUGGUAAAUUGUAUUUUUUUCAGCACAAUGGUAAGUAUGCCAGUUUUUAUCAAACAAAUAUCGUAUAUCCACCAUUCAGUUUCAUGAUCUCAUACAAUGUUAGUGUGGGCUGUGUCUAAUGCUUACUGCAAUCAGCAAGCAUUGCCUUUGAACCUUUAAACACACAUAACCACCCCAAGCUGUCUAUUUCCAUUUGUGACAUCGUUCUUUAAUUCAAUUUUAAACAUCUCUCAAUAAGUCCCAAUGAAUGGAUUUGUUUUCAAUAGAUCCGGAGUCAAUGUAAUUAUGUAAUGAAUAUAACAUAGAUCAGGUCAUUGAAAGAAAGACUUCAGGCCUAAGUCCUCAGGUAUACACUUUACUUUUGUACAUUUGUGUAGUUUGAGAUGUGAGAAAGCUCAAAUAAAACAAAAAUCAGUACUAGAAAAUACUACUAAUAGAUUGGAUUGUAUUGUAUUGCAUUGUAGGUAAACAUAUAGAAGUGCUUCGGCUCCCAGUAGUGUGCAGAACUUCUUAUGGCGUCUUGCGAAGGACAUCUUGCCUACAAGGAGCAAUUUGGGUAAGAAAG